UGGGGAAUAUUGCACAAUGGGCGAAAGCCUGAUGCAGCAACGCCGCGUGAGUGAUGAAGGCCUUCGGGUUGUAAAGCUCUGUCUUUUGGGACGAUAAUGACGGUACCAAAGGAGGAAGCCACGGCUAACUACGUGCCAGCAGCCGCGGUAAUACGUAGGUGGCAAGCGUUGUCCGGAUUUACGGGCGUAAAGGAUGCGUAGGCGGAUUUUUAAGUGAGAUGUGAAAUACCCGGGCUUAACUUGGGUGCUGCAUUUCAAACUGGGAAUCUAGAGUGCGGGAGAGGAGAAUGGAAUUCCUAGUGUAGCGGUGAAAGUGCGUAGAGAUUAGGAAGAACACCAGUGGCGAAAGGCGAUUCUCUGGACCGUAACUGACGCUGAGGCAUGAAAGCGUGGGUAGCAAACAGGAUUAGAUACCCUGGUAGUCCACGCCGUAAACGAUGAGUACUAGGUGUAGGAGGUAUCGACCCCUUCUGUGCCGCAGUUAACACAAUAAGUACUCCGCCUGGGAAGUACGAUCGCAA
rnacentral:rRNA from 1 species